rnacentral:rRNA from 1 species
CCUACGGGAGGCAGCAGUGGGGAAUAUUGGACAAUGGGCGAAAGCCUGAUCCAGCAAUGCCGCGUGAGUGAUGAAGGCCUUAGGGUCGUAAAGCUCUUUUACCAGGGAUGAUAAUGACAGUACCUGGAGAAUAAGCUCCGGCUAACUCCGUGCCAGCAGCCGCGGUAAUACGGAGGGAGCUAGCGUUGUUCGGAAUUACUGGGCGUAAAGCGUACGUAGGCGGUUAUUCAAGUCAGAGGUGAAAGCCCGGGGCUCAACCCCGGAACGGCCUUUGAAACUAGAUAGCUAGAGUCUUGGAGAGGUCAGUGGAAUUCCGAGUGUAGAGGUGAAAUUCGUAGAUAUUCGGAAGAACACCAGUGGCGAAGGCGACUGACUGGACAAGUACUGACGCUGAGGUACGAAAGCGUGGGGAGCAAACAGGAUUAGAUACCCUGGUAGUCCACGCCGUAAACGAUGAUAACUAGCUGUCCGGGUACUUGGUAUCUGGGUGGCGCAGCUAACGCAUUAAGUUAUCCGCCUGGGGAGUACGGUCGCAAGAUUAAAACUCAAAGGAAUUGACGG